rnacentral:rRNA from 1 species
UACAGGGGGUGCAAACGUUGCUCGGAAUCAUUGGGCGUAAAGCGCACGUAGGCGGUUCGUUAUGUCGGAUGUGAAAUCCCUCGGCUUAACCGGGGAACUGCUUCCGAUACUGGAUGGCUAGAGUGUGGGAGAGGGAUGCGGAAUUCCAGGUGUAGCGGUGAAAUGCGUAGAUAUCUGGAGGAACACCGGUGACGAAGGCGGCAUCCUGGACCACGACUGACGCUGAGUGAGCGAAAGCCAGGGGAGCAAACGGG